UGAGGGGAAGGGGCAGUGCAGCUGCCGGUGCACUGCGUCCCCUCCCCCGCCGCCGGGGGGACUCCGCGCCGGCCCAUUGCCAAGUUCAAUGCCAAGGUCAUGCGCGCGCGAGUGCGCUUGCGCGCCGCAAUGCAGGAGCGCUCGCCGGCCGCCGUUCGCAGCCGUCAGUGCCUUGCCGACGUUCGAUACACACACACCGACGCGCUUCGACCCUAUACUUCCGCAACAAUACUAAUCUGAUACGGCCCAAUGGUCCUCCAGAUAAAUUCAUAGACGGUGUCAAUGGCGGCCAACUAAACGUGUAACGAUUGGUGCACACCAUGUGAGUUGCUGACGUUAGCGCGUCGGACGCGGUCCAAGAUUAUGCAAUAUUUUCAUAAACACCGCCCCAUCCGGCACUAGCUGAUUGCGGCCGGCAGAGAGCAUAACGAGGACAACACUAACGCCACAAGAACUUCGAUGAUAUGAAACAAUAAUGUUUUAUGGAAGGAAACACAACUACCUCACAAAUACAGUUUAAGUGUUUGACAGAAACGAAUACUCUGCAGUUCAAGAUGAAGACAAGAUCUCU